rnacentral:rRNA from 1 species
UACGAGGGGGGCAAGCGUUGUUCGGAAUUAUUGGGCGUAAAGGGUGCGUAGGUGGCGCAGUAAGUCGGGUGUGAAAUCCUGAGGCUUAACCUCAGAACUGCAUUCGAUACUGCUGUGCUUGAGGACUGGAGAGGAGACUGGAAUUCAUGGUGUAGCAGUGAAAUGCGUAGAGAUCAUGAGGAAGACCAGUGGCGAAGGCGGGUCUCUGGACAGUUCCUGACACUGAGGCACGAAGGCCAGGGGAGCAAACGGG